GGGACAGUAGCUCAGUUGGUUAGAGCACCGCUCUGAUAAGGCGGGGGUCAAUAGUUCAACUCUAUUCUGUCCCA
rfam:Treponema succinifaciens DSM 2489, complete genome.